UACGUAGGGUGCAAGCGUUAAUCGGAAUUAUUGGGCGUAAAGCGUGCGUAGGCGGUCCGUUAAGACAGAUGUGAAAUCCCCGGGCUUAACCUGGGAACUGCAUUUGAGACUGGCGGACUCGAGUAUGGCAGAGGGGGGUAGAAUUCCACGUGUAGCAGUGAAAUGCGUAGAGAUGUGGAGGAAUACCGAUGGCGAAGGCAGCCCCCUGGGCCAAUACUGACGCUCAUGCACGAAAGCGUGGGGAGCAAACAGG
rnacentral:rRNA from 1 species